rnacentral:misc_RNA from 1 species
UGYACACACCGCCCGUCACACCACGAGAGUUGGCAACACCCGAAGUCGGUGGGGUAACCCGAAAGGGGGCCAGCCGCCGAAGGUGGGGUCGAUGAUUGGGGUGAAGUCGUAACAAGGUAGCCGUAUCGGAAGGUGCGGCUGGAUCACCUCCUUUCUAGGGAAGAGAGAGGGGUUUGGUGGAGAGGCGUGCGUGUUUAGUUUUGAGGGUUCUCGGGAGAGAACUUAGCGAAAGCUACUUAUGCCUUGAGAGAGGGAUAAGCUCGAAGGACCUUGAGAACUGAAUCAGCAAGAGGGAAGCAAGGUGAAGGUAGAAAGGGCGCACGGAGGAUGCCUAGGUGCCAGGAGCCGAAGAAGGACGGGGCGAAC